AUUGAACGCUGGCGGCAUGCCUUACACAUGCAAGUCGAACGGUAACGCGGGGCAACCUGGCGACGAGUGGCGAACGGGUGAGUAAUGUAUCGGAACGUGCCCAGUUGUGGGGGAUAACUGCUCGAAAGAGCAGCUAAUACCGCAUACGACCUGAGGGUGAAAGCGGGGGAUCGCAAGACCUCGCGCAAUUGGAGCGGCCGAUAUCAGAUUAGGUAGUUGGUGGGGUAAAGGCUCACCAAGCCAACGAUCUGUAGCUGGUCUGAGAGAACGACCCCCCACACUGGCACUGAGAUACGGGCCAGACUCCUACGGGAGGCAGCAGUAGGGAAUAUUGGACAAUGGGUGCGAGCCUGAUCCAGCCAUGCCGCGUGCAGGAAGAAAGCCUUCUGGGUUGUAAACUGCUUUUUUCAGGGGAUAAAAGGCCCGUGCGCGGGACAUUGAAGGUACCUGAAGAAUAGGCCACGGCUAACUACGUGCCAGCCGCCGCUGUAACAC
rnacentral:rRNA from 1 species